AUUGAACGCUGGCGGCAUGCCUUACACAUGCAAGUCGAACGGCAGCACGGGUGCUUGCACCUGGUGGCGAGUGGCGAACGGGUGAGUAUUACAUGGGAACAGGUCUUGUGGGGGGGGUAGGCCCGGCGAAAGCGGGAUUAUUCCGCCAUCCGAUCCAGGGAUGAAAGGGGGGGCCUUUCGGCCUUGGCGCUUUAGGGUUGGCCGAUGGCUGAUUAGCUAGUUGGUGGGGUAAAGGCCUACCAAGGCGACGAUCAGUAGCUGGUCUGAGAGGACGACCAGCCACACUGGGACUGAGACACGGCCCAGACUCCUACGGGAGGCAGCAGUGGGGAAUUUUGGACAAUGGGCGAAAGCCUGAUCCAGCAAUGCCGCGUGUGUGAAGAAGGCCUUCGGGUUGUAAAGCACUUUUGUCCGGAAAGAAAUCCUUGGCUCUAAUACAGUCGGGGGAUGACGGUACCGGAAGAAUAAGCACCGGCUAACUACGUG
rnacentral:rRNA from 1 species